GGACCUGACUGCUAUCGGAUUGAUACUAAGCCAUGCGAGUCAUUGUAGCAAUACAAGGCAUACGGCUCAGUAACGCGUAGUCAACCUAACCUAUGGACGGGAAUAACCUCGGGAAACUGAGAAUAAUGCCCGAUAGAACAUUAUGCCUGGAAUGGUUUAUGUUCCAAAUGAUUUAUCGCCGUAGGAUGGGACUGCGGCCUAUCAGUUUGUUGGUGAGGUAAUGGCCCACCAAGACUAUUACAGGUACGGGCUCUGAGAGGAGUAGCCCGGAGAUGGGUACUGAGACACGGACCCAGGCCCUAUGGGGCGCAGCAGGCGAGAAAACUUUGCAAUGUGCGAAAGCACGACAAGGUUAAUCCGAGUGGUUUCUGCUAAAGAAACCUUUUGGCAGUCCUAGAAACACUGAUGAAUAAGGGGUGGGCAAGUUCUGGUGU
rnacentral:rRNA from 1 species